rnacentral:lncRNA from 1 species
UAAAGCUCUUCUCCAUCUUGCUAAGCCUCCAUUUGUCCGCAAUACCUCAUCUCCCUGGACGCAGGACAAGAACUCAGGACCCGCCUGGAGGUGCCCACAGCAGAAUCCACAUGCCGUCCAUCUGGUCCAGCCUCACGCAGAGCCACAACUGUGCUGGCGCCUGGAGCUGCCAGCCCCACUGCAGCAGCCGGACUGACAUUCAGACGUGGAGCAAGUUGGACUGCAUAGGGACCCACCAGUGAGAUGGACGCUGUCUGUAAACGAUGCGGAAAUUGAACAAUAGGAAGAUUCAACACAAUGUAGUCAGGAUAAGAAUGAAUGAGAAGAGGCCCAGUCCUUAGGAGGAAUUGUAACCAAGUUUCAUCUGUAGAUCUCCCAGUGAUCCUCCAGCCUUGAAUUUGUUUUAAGAUCUAUCUGAGUUAGUACUUCCCUACGAGUUUCUCAGAAGCAAAUCCAAAUCUUCCCUUAAGUAAGGGGAAAUUUAUGGAAAGAUGUCCUCCUGCAACUGCUGAAAAUGCAACAUGCUGCCCAGGUCCUGCUCAGACCACUGACAACUCAGAAGUUAAUACUCAGAGUGGAAAGGUGAGUAAAGGCUGUUUAAUGACCACCCCAUGAAAAGAGUCAGAAUUACAUCCCUCUUGAUUCCUGUUUCUUUCUGAACAACAUAAAUGUAAUGUAAGCCAAGCUAAUACAUGCUGUUUUGUGGUAUAUAAUGGGUUUUCUGUAGCCAGAUGUGGCGCUGAUUAUUAUUUUUUUUCUGCAAACCUGUGUUACUUUCAGCGUAGCAAAGUGUAGUACAUGAGCAAGCGUUUCAAGCCAGACGGAGUUAAUCAUCUCUGUCACUGAAUUGGAGCUCACGGUCUGCUGGACAACUGUGCUGAGUGGAAAGGAAGCCUCGAUGGCUAAGUCACUUGUCCAACCUCAGACACUGGCAGAUCCAGGAUUCAAACAGCUAGACUCCAAAUGUGUUUCCUUUAACCUCUUUUCUACCUUUUCAACUUGAUUCCACACAUCACCACUGGGAAAGCUUAGGUGAGUAAGUCAUGUGGGCUUUGGUUUUUUCAUCUGCACGAUGGAUAGACUGAGACCUUCUUCCCUCAUGCCUCUGAGGAUGACAUAAAAAACCCACAAAAUCCCUAGUCCACUUACUUGCUCACAGAUAUUUACUGAGUGAGCAUCUGAUUUCCAUCCCAUUGUCACCUUCUCCCUAGCUGUCCAGACACCCUGCUUGCCUGGCCAAUGCCACCAAAGAAUGGAACCUGCUUUUGUUCCACACUCCGUAGCCAGAAAAAAGAGACAGUUGUUCUGGCAUGUUAUUGUUUGAUUUUAUUUUACCUCAGGGAUUAAAAAAAAUGACUAUCAAUUAUAGCAACAUCAGGUAGAGGGUUUGGUAUACAUUUCCGAUGAGCUUAGAUUUCUCUCAAAUUCUCAUACUUUUAAGAUUUAUUUUUAAAUGUGAGCAUUGAAACUUAACCAAUCCUUUAGACUCUUACUCAACAAGGGAUUCUAAAGAACAUUUCUCAGUAGGAAUUAAUCAUUUAUUUUGAAACUACAUAUCUAAUUUGUCUACUAUGGGAAGGAUAUGGAAAGAGAAAACCCAAUUCUUUUUAUUUUUUGGAACAGCUGGGUCCCCAAACCACCAGCAGCUGCUUCACAAAUUGCCUAGCCAUUAAGUAAUUAUUUCCUCAUCAUAAGAGCAGCUGGAAGAGCUAGUCUCUCUCCCUCCCCAGUGCAACUCCCACUUCCUUCUGCCUCCUCCACCCUGUCCUGAAAUGGGCAGGCCAAGAGGUAUACGGUAUUGGUUUUCUUUACGUAAUUGAAGACUGGAAUUGAGCACUCUGAUAGCUGAUUAUUUUUCA